rnacentral:rRNA from 1 species
AUUUCUAGUCUUAACAAAAACAAACUAGACCACUAAAAGUUAUUUUCUUCAAAUUUAAAGGAUUUGGCGGUGAUUUAGUCCAGUUAGAGGAACCUGUUUAAUAAACGAUAAACCACGCAAAAUCUUACCUACUCUUCUCUAAGCUUGUAUACCGUCAUUAUUAAAUUACUCCCACAGGAUUAGUUAUUUCAAUAAUCUUUUGUUCUUCAUAUAUUAGAUCAAGGUGCAGCCUAUGGGUAGGUUUCUAAUGGGUUACAAUAAACCUUAUUUAUACGGAUUUUUUAUUUAAAUAUUUUCUUCAAGGCGGAUUUAAUAGUAAAACUAGUUUAAUAAGCUACUUUGAUAAUGGAUCUAAAUUGAGUACAUAUCGCCCGUCGCUUUCAAUCAAAUGAAAUAAGUCGUAACAUAG